UUCCUCUCACAUCAUCCUCCUCCUCCUCCUCCUCCUCCAUGAUGCUGCCUCUCCUCCCUCAGGUCGUGAUGCUAACAGUGUGUAGUAGUGUGUUAGUUAAAGGACACAAUGAGGAGUCUGAAUUAACCCAGAGAGCGUACGUGGUUCUACUGAAGCAGGAUGUAGUGACCAUGAGCUGUGUCCUCUCUGUCCUGCUGCUGCUCAUCAUCAUCAUGGCGGUCUGCGUCUACAAGCCGCUGCCUCGACGGUGAAACUGUGCAGAGGAGAUGAAGACACCGGGGACAGAUGAGCUGUUGUCCCGGUCCACCCUGCACCGAGCACCGGGGAGCUCAUCGGCUGCAACCGGUACAACAACAACAACAGACCGGAGCUGGCUAACUGAGGAGGAAACCUGCAAACUCUGCCACCUGCCGGCCAUCACCGGACACACCCAGAGAACAGUGUGACACACCAGCAGUGUUUAAAUGAUCAUAGCAGGUUACUGAAGAAGUAUUUAUCUACCUGUUUAUGAUAUGUCAUUUGUUUAUUUAAUUUGAAAUGAGCCUACGUCUAUGCACUGAAUUAUAUUGUUGGUUUGACAAAUGUUAUUUGACAAUAACAUGAGCUAUUGCCAACAUAAAACAUGUCACAUUUUAUUUAUAUUUGUUAGGACUUCACACCUUAAGGUUGUAACUAGUUUUAUUCAUUUGCUUUUCAGGCCGAGAGUUGGUCUCAUCUGUUUGUUCUGAAGGGAGAAUAAGCCUGGAGGCCAAAAGCCUUUAAAUAAACUAAAGUGGGAUUUUUAAA